AUUGAACGCUGGCGGCAGGCCUAACACAUGCAAGUCGAACGGUAACAGGAAGAAGCUUGCUUCCUUGCUGACGAGUGGCGGACGGGUGAGUAAUGUCUGGGAAACUGCCUGAUGGAGGGGGAUAACUACUGGAAACGGUAGCUAAUACCGCAUAACGUCGCAAGACCAAAGAGGGGGACCUUCGGGCCUCUUGCCAUCGGAUGUGCCCAGAUGGGAUUAGCUUGUUGGUGGGGUAACGGCUCACCAAGGCGACGAUCCCUAGCUGGUCUGAGAGGAUGACCAGCCACACUGGAACUGAGACACGGUCCAGACUCCGACGGGAGGCAGCAGUGGGGAAUAUGGCACAAGGGGCGCAAGCCUGAUGCAGCCAUGCCGCGUGUAUGAAGAAGGCCUUCGGGUUGUAAAGUACUUUCAGCGGGGAGGAAGGGAGUAAAGUUAAUACCUUUGCUCAUUGACGUUACCCGCAGAAGAAGCACCGGCUAACUCCG
rnacentral:rRNA from 1 species